ACACAUGCAGUCGAGCGGUAGAGAGAAGCUUGCUUCUCUUGAGAGCGGCGGACGGGUGAGUAAUGCCUAGGAAUCUGCCUAGUGGUGGGGGAUAACGUUCGGAAACGGACGCUAAUACCGCAUACGUCCUACGGGAGAAAGCGGGGGACCUUCGGGCCUCGCGCCAUUAGAUGAGCCUAGGUCGGAUUAGCUAGUUGGUGAGGUAAAGGCUCACCAACGCGACGAUCCGUAACUGGUCUGAGAGGAUGAUCAGUCACACUGGAACUGAGACACGGUCCAGACUCCUACGGGAGGCAGCAGUGGGGAAUAUUGGACAAUGGGCGAAAGCCUGAUCCAGCCAUGCCGCGUGUGUGAAGAAGGUCUUCGGAUUGUAAAGCACUUUAAGUUGGGAGGAAGGGUAGUAACUUAAUACGUUGCUACUUUGACGUUACCGACAGAAUAAGCACCGGCUAACUUCGUGCCAGCAGCCGCGGUAAUACGAAGGGUGCAAGCGUUAAUCGGAAUUACUGGGCGUAAAGCGCGCGUAGGUGGUUUGUUAAGUUGGAUGUGAAAUCCCCGGGCUCAACCUGGGAACUGCAUCCAAAACUGGCAAGCUAGAGUAUGGUAGAGGGUGGGGGGAAUUUCCUGUGUAGCGGUGAAAUGCGUAGAUAUAGGCAGGAACACCAGUGGCGAAAGCGACCACCUGGACUGAUACUGACACUGAG
rnacentral:rRNA from 1 species